UACGUAGGGGGGCUAGCGUUGUCCGGAAUCAUUGGGCGUAAAGAGCUCGUAGGCGGUUUGUCGCGUCUGCUGUGAAAACUCGAGGCUCAACCUCGGGCUUGCAGUGGGUACGGGCAGACUAGAGUGCAGUAGGGGUGACUGGAAUUCCUGGUGUAGCGGUGGAAUGCGCAGAUAUCAGGAGGAACACCAAUGGCGAAGGCAGCUCACUGGGACGGUAUUGACGCUGGAGAACGCGAAAGCGUGGGGAGCAAACAGG
rnacentral:rRNA from 1 species